rnacentral:rRNA from 1 species
GACGAACGCUGGCGGCGUGCCUAAUACAUGCAAGUCGAACGAAGCUGUUUUAACUGGUGCUUGCACCGACUUAAACAACUGAGUGGCGAACGGGUGAGUAACACGUGGGUAACCUGCCCCAAAGCGGGGGAUAACAUUUGGAAACAGAUGCUAAUACCGCAUAACCACAGAAACCACAUGGUUUCUGUGUCAAAGAUGGUUUCGGCUAUCACUUUGGGAUGGACCCGCGGCGUAUUAGCUAGUUGGUAAGGUAAUGGCUUACCAAGGCAAUGAUACGUAGACGAACUGAGAGGUUGAUCGGCCACAUUGGGACUGAGACACGGCCCAAACUCCUACGGGAGGCAGCAGUAGGGAAUCGUCCACAUUGGACGAAAGUCUGAUGGAGCAACGCCGCGUGAGUGAAGAAGGUUUUCGGAUCGUAAAACUCUGUUGUCAGAGAAGAACGUGUGCGAGAGUAACUGUUCGUGCAGUGACGGUAUCUGGCCAGAAAGCCACGGCUAACUACGUGCCAGCCGCCGCCGUAA